rnacentral:rRNA from 1 species
GUGGCGGACGGGUGAGUAACACGUAAGAAUUUACCUUUAGGAGGGGGAUAACAACUGGAAACGGUUGCUAAUACCCCAUAUGCUUUCGAGUGAAAUGGAUUUUUCCGCCUAAAGAGGAGCUUGCGGCUGAUUAGCUUGUUGGUGAGGUAAUGGCUCACCAAGGCGACGAUCAGUAUCUGGUUUGAGAGGACGAUCAGACACACUGGAACUGAGACACGGUCCAGACUCCUACGGGAGGCAGCAGUGGGGAAUUUUCCGCAAUGGGCGAAAGCCUGACGGAGCAACACCGCGUGAGGGAUGACGGCCUAUGGGUUGUAAACCUCUUUUUUCAGGGAGGAAUCAAUGACGUGUACCUGAAGAAUAAGCAUCGGCUAACUCCGUGCCAGCAGCCGCGGUAAGACGGAGGAUGCAAGUGUUAUCCGGAAUCACUGGGCGUAAAGCGUCUGUAGGUGGUCUAGUAAGUCAACUGUUAAAUCUUGAGGCUCAACUUCAAAAUCGCAGUCGAAACUAUUAGACUAGAGUAUAGUAGGGGUAAAGGGAAUUUCCAGUGGAGCGGUGAAAUGCGUAGAGAUUGGAAAGAACACCGAUGGCGAAGGCACUUUACUGGGCUAUUACUGACACUGAGAGACGAAAGCUAGGGUAGCAAAUGGGAUUAGAUACCCCAGUAGUCCUAGCCGUAAACAAUGGAUACUAGAUGUUGAACAGAUCGACCUGUGCAGUAUCAAAGCU